AUAAUAAAGACUUCGGAUUUGACUACAGAAAUUUCAAUAUAGUGCAUUACUUUCGAAACAGCGUAAUCGGUGCAAAAAUUUACUUACUGAAUGAGGAUAUGAAUCACCUGAAUGCAGCGAAACUGCAUCGAAAGAGGAUGCUAUGGCUCGAUAGAAUUGUGAAAAUAUUGGUCGGCACUCUCAUUAUGUGGAUAAUAUAUGAUAAAUAUUAAUGUGUAUUAAUUGUUUUAUAAAAAAAAAUUUGAUUUAACAAUUGCGGUUGCACCAAAUAUAUAAUCUAGAUUGUUAUUAAGUUUAGAUAAUUACUGUAUAAACAUUAAUAAACUAAUUAUAAUAAUACAAAUUUAUAUCAA